rnacentral:rRNA from 1 species
AACGGCCGCGGUAUUUUGACCGCGUGAAGGUAGCGUAAUCAUUUGUCUUUUAAAUGAAGACCUGUAUGAAUGGCAUAACGAGGGCUUAGCUGUCUCAUCCUCCCAGUCAAUGAAAUUGAUCUCCCCGUGCAGAAGCGGGGAUAAACACAUAAGACGAAAAGACCCUGUGGAGCUUUAGAUUACAGAGCAGCCUUAAUAAAACUUUUUAAAGCCCCUGCUCAUUUAUCUUCGGUUGGGGCGACCACGGAGAAAACUUAUCCUCCACGCUGCACAAAACACCAUGUUUUUAUAGCCAAGACCGACAGCUCUAAGCACCAGAAUCUCUGACCCCAAAGAUCCGGACACACCGAUCAACGAACCAAGUUACCCCAGGGAUAACAGCGCAAUCCCCUUCUAGAGCCCCUAUCGACAAGGGGGUUUACGACCUCGAUGUUGGAUCAGGGCAUCCUAAU